rnacentral:rRNA from 1 species
GAUGAACGCCAGCGGCAGGCCUAAUACAUGCAAGUCGAACGGUGUCUUCGGACAUAGUGGCGCACGGGUGCGUAACACGUAUGCAACCUACCUUACAUUGGGGGAUAGCCUUUCGAAAGGGAGAUUAAUACCGCAUAAGACAGUAGCUGGGCAUCCAGCAGCUGUUAAAGAUUUAUCGAUGUAAGCUGGGCAUGCGUCCAAUUAGCUAGUUGGUGAGGUAACGGCUCACCAAGGCAAUGAUUGGUAGGGGAACUGAGAGGUCAAUCCUCCACACUGGCACUGAGGGACGGGCCAGACGCCUACGGGAGGCAGCAGUAGGGAAUAUUGGGCAAUGGACGCAAGUCUGACCCAGCCAUGCCGCGUGCAGGAUGAAGGCGUUAUGCGUUGUAAACUGCUUUUAUACAGGAAGAAACGACUCUUGCGAGAGGCAUUGACGGUACUGUAUGAAUAAGCACCGGCUAACUCCGUGCCAGCCGCCGCAGUAAGAC